CCGCCUUCUUGCUCAGGAAGCCCCGCUUGGUGCCCUCCUUGCGCGCCAGGAAGGCCAGGCAAAUUAAGGGGGAGAAACAGCAUUGAGCUGCCACUGUAUGGGCACGCUGUUUACUGUUCCCAGAAAGAGGUGUGAUUCAGACACUGAAGAGAUAGAGGCACAGAUGGACGAGCGCUUGCCAACAUUCCCAAGUCACGGGGCCAGAACCUGAACCCAGGCAGUCUGGCUCUAGAAGCUGUGCUCUCAAGUACUGCGUGACAUGUAAGAACUGUCCACACUUCCAAAGGGAACAUCACAUCUGCUGUCUCCACACCAUCAGACAAGGUUCGUCGGGUCUUGUUCCCAUAGUUCCUUCUCUACAGGAGGAAGAGCCCCAUCAUAGAGUCUUCAGACAGACUGGGAAAUAAAUAAAUGCCCCGCAGGAAUCCUGGUGAAGGCUACUCGCCCUGCUAUCCAUGAUACCAUAUCUCACCUCAGGCCCAGAAACGUGAAGUCGGCUGCCUGAAAUCUCAGCAACCAUGAGUCAAAGGACAUCUUUUCUCUUCUACAG